rnacentral:rRNA from 1 species
AAUCCUGGUUGAAGAUGGGUGGACCAUCAUCCAAGGCUAAAUACUACUUACUGACCGAUAGUGAACCAGUACCGUGAGGGAAAGGUGAAAAGAACCCCGGAGAGGGGAGUGAAAUAGAAUCUGAAACCGUUUGCGUACAAGCAGUGGGAGCAUGGUUUAGGCUGUGUGACUGCGUACCUUUUGUAUAAUGGGUCAGCGAGUUACUUUCAGUGGCGAGGUUAACUGAAUAAGGGAGCCGUAGAGAAAUCGAGUCUGAAUAGGGCGAUAGUCGCUGGGAGUAGACCCGAAACCGGGCGAUCUAGCCAUGUGCAGGAUGAAGGUUGGGUAACACCAACUGGAGGUCCGAACCGGGUAAUGUUGAAAAAUUAUCGGAUGACGUGUGGCUAGGAGUGAAAGGCUAAUCAAGCCCGGAGAUAGCUGGUUCUCCCCGAAAGCUAUUUAGGUAGCGCCUCGUGAAUGAUUACUGGGGGUAG